rnacentral:rRNA from 1 species
UACAGAGGCCUCGAGCGUUAGGCGGAAUCACUGGGCUUAAAGCGUGUGUAGGCGGAUCGUUAAGUGUCUUGUGAAAUCCCACGGCUCACCCGUGGAACGGCUGGGCAUACUGGCGAUCUUGGGCCAACUAGGGGCAACUGGAACAAGCGGUGGAGCGGUGAAAUGCGUAGAUAUCGCUUGGAACGCCGAAGGUGAAAACAGGUUGCUGGGGUUGUGCCGACGCUGAGACACGAAAGCCAGGGGAGCAAACGGG